ACGUAGGGUGCGAGCGUUAAUCGGAAUUACUGGGCGUAAAGCGUACGCAGGCGGCUAUGCAAGACAGAUGUGAAAUCCCCGGGCUUAACCUGGGAACUGCAUUUGUGACUGCAUAGCUAGAGUUUGUCAGAGGGGGGUGGAAUUCCACGUGUAGCAGUGAAAUGCGUAGAGAUGUGGAGGAACACCUGUGGCGAAGGCGCCUUGCUGGCCAAUUACUGACGCUGAGGCGCGAAAGCGUGGGGAGCAAACAGGA
rnacentral:rRNA from 1 species